UGACUUGAAUUUAUAUCUCCACAUGAUGGGAGUGACAGGAAUAUAAGUCUUCACGUGAUGGGAGUGAUAAGAAUGUAAAUCUCUACGCGAUGGUAGUGACAGUAAUUUAAAAUCUCCACGCGAUGGGAGUGACAUGAAAGAAAAUCUCUACAUGAUGGGAGAGGCAUGAAAGAAAAUCUCCACACGGUGGGAGUAUUUUAUUGAUUUUUUGAAAAACAAGACCAAACCCGAAGGUUGCCUACGUAUCUCGUCGAAAUGAGAAUUAGCUCAAGCGUAGUUUAGACUUGAUCUUUCAAAAUGAGAAUCAGCUCAAGCCUACAUAUCUCAUCGAAAUGAUCCUUUCAAAAGGAUCUUCGGUCAAUUGUGACCCAAGUGGCCAUAGUUGACUGAUUUGUGCAGCUAAGGACGAGGAAAACUUGACCCAUAACAGGUUGCCUACGUAUUUUUACACAAGGUCAAGAAUCAGGCAUGUGUAGUUCGUGAAUAUUGGAGAGUAUAAGAUGUAUGAUUCACAUAAGUCUUUCCUCUCCUAUUUUGGCUUUUUGACAUAUUUGAAACAAUGAAUAUUGACACCACUAAAGAUAUCUAGAAAAAUGUAAGGGUAUAGAUAAACUCGGAGCGAUGCCUCAUUGUAUCCAUGAUUGGUUGUGAUAUCUUUGAAGUUGAAUUAUGACUCCAUCCAGAAGAUGUGCCCCAAUUGCUCCUUCAAACAGUUGCUUCGAUGCCCUCUUACUAUUUGUGAGACAGUUGUUGUGGUUGUCUCCCAAUUCACUGCAUGGACGAUUUGUUGCGAUCUUCAAGCUCUGAACAGGAGCCUUUUUUACAUCACCCCUGCUUGUAGCCAGGGCGAUUAAACAAAAGACAAAAAUUCCAAUCGUGUUAAGUAUUAAUGAUGCAAUCGUGUGAAGCAGCAUAACCAAGAUAAGCAAAAGAAAAAAAUUCCAAUCAAAGUGUGGCCUUAAAAAUUUGAAGAAUAAUCAAGGAUCCAAGGACCUGGAUGGCUUCUCAAAAUAUAACGAAGCAACGACAAAGACAGUAACAAUCAACGAUUAAACAAAACUAGAAUUAUCAGUCGCAAAAAGAAACUUUCGUCCAACACAAUCAUCAGUAAUAAAGAGACAGCCUCAGAAAAGUAACAAUAUCCAAAUAGAUGUAUUAGUAGUAAAAUCGUACAGAGAGGAAUGACGGGGUCACUAAAGUCAGUCGCCAAGCGAUAAAGAAUUAACUCGCCGAUUCCGGCUACCUCCGGCCAUGUUGUCGGCAAGCCAAAACAUCGACAGAUUGGAACAACAUUAAGAGCAACGAAUCAAUACCCAAAGUGGAGAGAAAUAGAGUUAGGUUUAAAAGAGGGUCGCCGAAACAAUGGGCCAAAUACAUGGUUCAUCGGAGUUGUAUUUUUCCGGCUAAACCCAGUAACAAAUGAGUACGCCUAGCCCUUUAAUGGUGUACUUGGAACGAAGAGAGACGAGAAAAAUAGAAGAAGAUAACAAAUCUAGGGUCGUUAAAAUAGUAAAUUCCAUCUAGAUCUCAGGAAAAAUCGACCAAAACUUUGAAAUAGAGCUACAUAUAUGAAGGAUCAUGGUGGGUAGUUCUAUUUCAGGGGCAAGAUCUAUUGAAUCCGACCAUUUCAGCGAGGUUUGUUGACAUUAAUGUUCGCUAGUGGCUGGCUAGUCCGGUGACGGGUCAACUUCCAUAUAGAGAGAGGGAUGAGGAAGAGAGGAGGCAGUGAAGUCGCCUGCCAUAGCCGGUGAUCAAUUCCUAUGGGCGGGAGAGAGUGAAGUGGCACAACCAAUUGGAGGGAAUCAGAGGGGAGGUGGCUUCCUUCUUUAGAGAGAAUGAUAGAGGUCCCAAAAUAAAUUAGUAUUUUCCCACAUAUAAAUCUAAUAUGGUGUCCCCAUUGUAUGUAGUGUGUAAGUAUUUGUUUUAUAU
rnacentral:lncRNA from 1 species